rnacentral:rRNA from 1 species
AACGAACGCUGGCGGCAUGCCUAACACAUGCAAGUCGAACGAAGGCUUCGGCCUUAGUGGCGCACGGGUGAGUAACGCGUGGGAACCUGCCUCUUGGUACGGAAUAACGUCGGGAAACUGACGCUAAUACCGUAUAUUUCUGCGGAUGAAAGAUUUAUCGCCGAGAGAGGGGCCCGCGUCUGAUUAGCUAGUUGGUGAGGCAACGGCUCACCAAGGCGACGAUCAGUAGCUGGUCUGAGAGGAUGAUCAGCCACACUGGGACUGAGACACGGCCCAGACUCCUACGGGAGGCAGCAGUGGGGAAGAUUGGACAAUGGGGGCAACCCUGAUCCAGCAAUGCCGCGUGAGUGAUGAAGGCCUUCGGGUUGUAAAGCUCUUUUGCCAGGGACGAUGAUGACGGUACCUGGAGAAUAAGCCCCGGCUAACUUCGUGCCAGCCGCCGCAGUAAAAC